GGACUACUGGGGUUUCUAAUCCGGUUCGCUCCCCACGCUUUCGCGCCUCAGCGUCAGGUCACCCCCAGCCGGCCGCCUUCGCCACUGGUGUUCCUCCCGAUCUCUACGCAUUUCACCACUACACCGGGAAUUCCACCGGCCUCUGAGUGCCUCCAGUCCGGCAGUCUCCACCGCACCCGCCCGGUUGAGCCGGGAGAUUUCACGGCAGUCUUACCGCACCACCUGCGCGCCCUUUACGCCCAAUAAUUCCGGACAACGCUCGCCACCUACGUAUUACCGCGGCUGCUGGCAC
rnacentral:rRNA from 1 species